rfam:Brachypodium distachyon strain Bd21 chromosome 5, whole genome shotgun sequence.
CCCACUGACUUUAAACAUAUAAAUAAGCGGAGGAGAAGAAACUUACAAGGAUUCCCCUAGUAACGGCAAGCGAACCGGGAGCAGCCCGGAAAGAGAGAACCGGGCGGCUAUGCCAUCCGAAUUGUUGUCUGGAGAGGCGUCCUCAGCGACAUACCGGGCCCAAGUCCCCUGGAAAGGGGCGCCAGGGAGGGUGAGAGCCCCGUCCAGCCCGGACCCUGUCGCCCCAUGAGGCGCCGUCAAUGAGUCGGGUUGUUUGGGAAAGAUGAAAAGGACUUUGAAAAGAGAUUCAAAGAGUGCUUGAAAUUGCCGGGAGGGAAGCGGAUGGGGGCCGGCGAUGCGUCCUGGCCGUAUGCGGAACGGCUUUUGCUGGUCCACCGCUCGACUCGGGGUGUGGACUCUUGUCGGCCGUGCUGGCGGCCCAAGCCCAGGGUCCUUAGGUGCCCCCGAUGGCCGUCGUUGGCACGGCCGGUACCCGCGCGCCGCAAGGCGUGUCCCUCGGGGCACACGCGCUGCAACGGCCUGCGGGCUCCCCAUCCGACCCGUCUUGAAACACGGACCAAGGAGUCUGACAUGUGUGCGAGUCGACGGGUUCUGAAACCUGGGAUGCGCAAGGAAGCUGACGAGCAGGAGGCCCUCACGGACCGCAACGCUGGGCGAACCUGAUCUUCUGUGAAGGGUUCGAGUUGGAGAACGCCUGUCAGGACGCGAAAGAUAGUGAACUAUGCCUGAGCGGGGCGAAGCUAGAGGAAACUCUGGUGGAGGCUCGAAGCGAUACUGACGUGCAAAUCGUUCGUCUGACUUGGGUAUAGGGGCGAAAGACUAAUCGAACCAUCUAGUAGCUGGUUCGAUCCGAAGUUUCCCUCAGGAUAGCUGGAGCCCAUUAUGAAUUCUAUCAGGUAAAGCCAAUGAUUAGAGGCAUCGGGGGCGCAACGCCCUCGACCUAUUCUCAAACUUUAAAUAGGUUGGACGGCGCGGCUGCUCCGGUGAGCCGCGCCAUGGAAUCGGGAGCUCCAAGUGGGCCAUUUUUGGUAAGUAGAAUUGGCAAUGCGGGAUGAACCAGAAGUCGGGUUACGGUGCCCAACUGCGCGCUAACCUAGAACCCAUAAAGGGUGUUGGUCGAUUAAGACAGCAGGACGGUGGUCAUGGAAGUCGAAAUCCGCUAAGGAGUGUGUAACAACUCACCUGCCGAUUCAACUAACCCCGAAAAUGGAUGGCGCUAAAGCGCGCGACCCACACCCGGCAAUCGGGGCGAGCGCCAUGCCCCGAUGAGUAGGAGGGCACGGCGGCCGCUGCAAAACCCGGGGCGUGAGCCCGGGUGGAGCGGCCGUCGGUGCAGAUCUUGGUGGUAGGAGCAAAUAUUCAAAUGAGAACUUUGAAGGCCAAAGAGGAGAAAGGUUCCAUGUGAACGGCACUUGCACAUGGGUAAGCCGAUCCUAAGGGACAGGGUAACCCUGGCAGAUAGCGCGAUCACGCGUAUCCCCCGAAAGGGAAUCGGGUUAAGAUUUCCUGAGCCGGGAUGUGGCAGUUGACGGCGACGGUAGGAAGUCCGGAGACGCCGGCGGGGCCGUCGGGAAGGGUUAUCUUUUCUGCUUAACGGCCUGCCAACCCUGGAAUCGGUUCAAUCAGAGGUAGGGUCCAGUGGCCGGAAGAGCACCACACGUCGCGCGGUGUCCAGUGCGCUCGACGGCCCAUGAAAAUCUAGAGGACCAAGUACCGUCCACGCCCGGUCGUACUCAUAACCGCAUCAGGUCUCCAAGGUGAACAACCUCUGGCC